CAGGGAAUCCCCAACGAAAAAUGCACACUAUUCCCUCUUUUCUAUCGAAUCGGUCAUAACCACUACCUACAUUCCACAAAAUAGUACACCACAAGUAGGAGCUAAUGAAUAGGCCUGCGAUUCCGUAGAAAGACAUCACGACCCCCUGCGGAAAAAAAAGAAUUUCUUGAGAUGGAAGUAUAGAUAUAAUAUUCUUACCAAGAUAACUGGAAAUCCCAACCGAUAAGAAUCCUAGUGAACCUAGAAAAAGCAUACAGGCCCAGAAAAAAUUACCCCUUUUUCGAGAACCUUUUAGAAGUUCUACCCAUAUGUGUUCUGAUCGCCAAUUCAUAUUAGAUAUACUAAAUCCAGCAGCGGUCGAUUGAAAUUGAGAGAAUAAGCUAAAUAAUUUUGACUUUACUUUUUUUGAUUCUGAAAUCGCCUUCAGCAACUAGUACUCCUGUGAAAUAAUAGGUUAGAUACAUUGACUUUCUAUUCAAAAAAUAUUCGUUGAUUCAAUUAAAAUAAAUAAAAUAAAACUCGCUAUACCUGGCUCUGCAUAUUCAUGCAUUUAUGCUCGUAGCCUAUAUCCGCAUCCAUAACCGUUUUUCAUUUGUGUGUAGAAAGUGUGUGUAGAAAAAGCCACAUACCCUACCAUAUUAUAUUACUUACACUAAAAAAUACAAUACAAUAGUCAAUAUUCCUUAUAAUAGAUAUACUUAAUUAUAUCAUAAGAAUCUUAAGAUAUUUUUCGACUAGAUAGAAAUAGUAAAUUUGAAUUGAGACACCUAUUCCAUGACGGAUUUAAACUUACCUUCUAUUUUCGUGCCUUUAGUAGGCUUAGUAUUUCCGGCAAUUGCAAUGACUUCUUUAUUUCUUUAUGUGCAAAAAAAUAAGAUUGUCUAGUAUUUUUUAGUGUAUGUAAUAUAAUAUGGUAGGGUAUGUGGCUUUUUCUACACACACUUUCUACACACAAAUGAAAAACGGUUAUGGAUGCGGAUAUAGGCUACGAGCAUAAAUGCAUGAAUAUGCAGAGCCAGGUAUAGCGAGUUUUAUUUUAUUUAUUUUAAUUGAAUCAACGAAUAUUUUUUGAAUAGAAAGUCAAUGUAUCUAACCUAUUAUUUCACAGGAGUACUAGUUGCUGAAGGCGAUUUCAGAAUCAAAAAAAGUAAAGUCAAAAUUAUUUAGCUUAUUCUCUCAAUUUCAAUCGACCGCUGCUGGAUUUAGUAUAUCUAAUAUGAAUUGGCGAUCAGAACACAUAUGGGUAGAACUUCUAAAAGGUUCUCGAAAAAGGGGUAAUUUUUUCUGGGCCUGUAUUCUUUUUCUAGGUUCACUAGGAUUCUUAUCGGUUUGGAUUUCCAGUUAUCUUGGUAAGAAUAUUAUAUCUAUACUUCCAUCUCAAGAAAUUCUUUUUUUUCCGCAGGGGGUCGUGAUGUCUUUCUACGGAAUCGCAGGCCUAUUCAUUAGCUCCUACUUGUGGUGUACUAUUUUGUGGAAUGUAGGUAGUGGUUAUGACCGAUUCGAUAGAAAAGAGGGAAUAGUGUGCAUUUUUCGUUGGGGAUUCCCUGGAAUAAAACGUCGCGUCUUCCUUCGAUUCCUUAUGCGGGAUAUCCAAUCAAUUAGAAUUCAGGUUAAAGAGGGUCUUUAUCCUCGUCGUAUUCUUUAUAUGGAAAUCCGGGGCCAGGGGAUCAUUCCCUUGACUCGUACUGAUGAUAAAUUUUUUACUCCACGAGAAAUUGAACAAAAAGCUGCCGAAUUGGCCUAUUUCUUGCGCGUACCAAUUGAAGUAUUUUUUUUGAACUGAGUUGAAUGAAGAAAAGAAGAAUUGGAAGAAGAAAAGUUUUCUCAACACGGGGAGGAAGUCCCUUCUAAAUUGGAUUUGUUAUUGUAAGGGGAUUUUUAAGUAUUUAUCUAAAGGAAGGAACAAACGAGGAUAAGAGAAAUUUGCUUUUAAUUUUUUUUUAUCCAAGUGAGAUAUAUCGCAUACUAUUCUUCCUUUUUCAUCCGAAAGGGCUUUUUUUUUAUUCUAUUUCACUAUUUCAUUCCAUCUAGAUCUAAGAAAGAACCCAAUGCACUGAAAUUCCACUAAUAACUAAUAUACAAAAAAGAAGAAUAGAUACAGGGUAUCAAACCUAUAGAGAUUUUGCUUCAAAGAAAUAGAAAUAUCAUCAUAUAGAGUCAGGGAAUGGAAUAGAGUCAGCGAAUGAAGCAUAUUCAUUAACAACUCCAUUUACAGAUCAAAAAUGAAAAAAAAGAAAGCAUUGCCUUCUUUACUAUAUCUUGUAUUUAUCGUACUUUUGCCUUGGGGGGUCUCUUCCUCAUUUAACAAAUGUCUGGAACUUUGGAUUAAGAAUUGGUGGAAUACCAGGCAAUCCGAAACUCUCUUAACUGAUAUUCAAGAGAAAAGGAUUCUAGAAAGAUUCAUAGAAUUAGAAGAACUUUCUCUCUUGGACGAGAUGAUAAAAGGGAAACUAAAGACCCAAAAUUUCAAACAUGUAUCUAGAAUUACUGGAAAACUACAAACAAAAAUAGUGAAAAUAAGCUCGUUAGGAGCCCAUCCAAAAUCGUUGUAGACCCAACGAAUUACUAGUUCCCAACCACGGGUGGAGUGAAAUCCAACAAAAAAAUCAGUAACUAAAAGAAUAAAAAAAGCUUUUAUUGAGUCAUUUAAAUUAUAGAAGAAUUCCUGAACCCAAGAAUUCAAAAUGACAAGUUCCUCUUUACCCAGAAAAAAAGAACCACUUAGAAUAGCCAAACAGAUUAUAUUUGUCGAGAAAUGCAAAAUGGUAUGGAGAUGAUCCUCAUUAUUUAUUUUGACCCAUUGUAUUAUUUCCUUGUGUAUUCCUGUAGGAGGUUUUUGUACAUGUGUCUUUAGUUUCCCUUUUAUCAUCUCGUCCAAGAGAGAAAGUUCUUCUAAUUCUAUGAAUCUUUCUAGAAUCCUUUUCUCUUGAAUAUCAGUUAAGAGAGUUUCGGAUUGCCUGGUAUUCCACCAAUACUUAAUCCAAAGUUCCAGACAUUUGUUAAAUGAGGAAGAGACCCCCCAAGGCAAAAGUACGAUAAAUACAAGAUAUAGUAAAGAAGGCAAUGCUUUCUUUUUUUUCAUUUUUGAUCUGUAAAUGGAGUUGUUAAUGAAUAUGCUUCAUUCGCUGACUCUAUUCCAUUCCCUGACUCUAUAUGAUGAUAUUUCUAUUUCAUGAUAUUUCUAUUUCUUUGAAGCAAAAACUCUAUAGGUUUGAUACCCUGUAUCUAUUCUUCUUUUUUGUAUAUUAGUUAUUAGUGGAAUUUCAGUGCAUUGGGUUCUUUCUUAGAUCUAGAUGGAAUGAAAUAGUGAAAUAGAAUAAAAAAAAAGCCCUUUCGGAUGAAAAAGGAAGAAUAGUAUGCGAUAUAUCUCAAUUGGAUAAAAAAAAAUUAAAAGCAAAUUUCUCUUAUCCUCGUUUGUUCCUUCCUUUAGAUAAAUACUUAAAAAUCCCCUUACAAUAACAAAUCCAAUUUAGAAGGGACUUCCUCCCCGUGUUGAGAAAACUUUUCUUCUUCCAAUUCUUCUUUUCUUCAUUCAACUCAGUUCAAAAAAGAUACCUCAAAAUACUUCAAUUGGUACGCGCAAGAAAUAGGCCAAUUCGGCAGCUUUUUGUUCAAUUUCUCGUGGAGUAAAAAAUUUAUCAUCAGUACGAGUCAAGGGAAUGAUCCCCUGGCCCCGGAUUUCCAUAUAAAGAAUACGACGAGGAUAAAGACCCUCUUUAACCUGAAUUCUAAUUGAUUGGAUAUCCCGCAUAAAGAAUCGAAGGAAGACGCGACGUUUUAUUCCAGGGAAUCCCCAACGAAAAAUGCACACUAUUCCCUCUUUUCUAUCGAAUCGGUCAUAACCACUACCUACAUUCCACAAAAUAGUACACCACAAGUAGGAGCUAAUGAAUAGGCCUGCGAUUCCGUAGAAAGACAUCACGACCCCCUGCGGAAAAAAAAGAAUUUCUUGAGAUGGAAGUAUAGAUAUAAUAUUCUUACCAAGAUAACUGGAAAUCCCAACCGAUAAGAAUCCUAGUGAACCUAGAAAAAGAAUACAGGCCCAGAAAAAAUUACCCCUUUUUCGAGAACCUUUUAGAAGUUCUACCCAUAUGUGUUCUGAUCGCCAAUUCAUAUUAGAUAUACUAAAUCCAGCAGCGGUCGAUUGAAAUUGAGAGAAUAAGCUAAAUAAUUUUGACUUUACUUUUUUUUAUUCUGAAAUCGCCUUCAGCAACUAGUACUCCUGUGAAAUAAUAGGUUAGAUACAUUGACUUUCUAUUCAAAAAAUAUUCGUUGAUUCAAUUAAAAUAAAUAAAAUAAAACUCGCUAUACCUGGCUCUGCAUAUUCAUGCAUUUAUGCUCGUAGCCUGUAUACGCAUCCAUAACCGUUUUUCAUUUGUGUUAGAAAGUGUGUGUAGAAAAAGCCACAUACCCUACCAUAUUAUAUUACUUACACUAAAAAAUACUAG
rnacentral:lncRNA from 1 species